CUGAGAAUCACUCUCACAACACAACACGGCAAAAGAACAGUCCCCUCUUUCUUCUCUUCUUUCCUUUUCUUCCAAUUUCAUUCUUCCACCAUCUCCGUGGAAGAAGACGCUUCCACUUCAGGGACUAACAACAUCUCUCCCAAUUUCUGAACGAAUGGAUUGAAAUCCAAGAAUCAUACGGCUGAUAACAGAUGAUGAAUUCGACUGGGAGUUACCCCCAAUGAAGGACCAAUUCUGAGGGGAUAGAAAAAAAAUCAAGAUUCCAACGGUGAAAUCCUCAAGCAUGUGGGUGGGUUGACUUGAGUUUCUCAAGAAAUGAAUCGUCAAUUGCUUGGGCAACCCUUGUGGUUUUGGACAUUUCUACUCUUGAAGUCGUGCAUCAAGAUUCCUCCAUUAUCAAGGCUUUGUAUUGGCUUGUCAUCUUGAGCUGUUGGUUGAUCUUCCUACCAUUGGGAUAGGAAAGACAGUGAGUCUUGGCAACAAUAUAAAUGCAUGCAUGUUAUGCUUAAAAAACGUUACUUACUAGUUCCGCAUUUUACCUGUGUGAAUGUGAUGCCAAUUAUUUUGUUUCCGUGUGUGAGGUCGUGUUGAUGGUUUUACGCAAUCUAGAAUAGGACAAGUGUCUGAAGCUAAUGGAAAGUUGUGUAGUGAUAUCUUCACCUUGAUCGGCGACUCUGGGUCUUAGGAGUGGUUGACAUUAGAUUGCCUUCGAAAGCAUGACUUAAUCAUCGACUGACGUAAUGGAAGUGGCAGAUCAUAUAACUCCAGCGGCGUUGAUAUCAAGAAAAGAGUUCCGUCUGACAAACCUAUCUUGAACUUGCUUCAUAGUGAAGAACUUGUCUCGGAUUGUCUUCCGAGUUGGAGCCUCAUGGGUUUUCGAGGCUUUUGUUUAUGUAAAU